AUGCGUGAACCUGCCAACUGGAGGAGACCACAUGACUUGGUGACAUUGAGGGUAACGUCAACCGAACACAAAAUGACAAAAAUUGGCCUUUCCAAAUUCAAACUCUUACUCCUCCCUUCCAUUUUUCUCUUCCACCGAACCCUACCCCAUAAGCACCGGCGAGCUCAACCCACACCGGUGUCACUCAACUCGGAAGCCACCAAUAGUGAGAGGGCUUUUAUCCGACUGAAGGUGAGUUACCUAAAGUAGAGAACGGUGGCGCACAUCUCUUUCCGGCAGAAAUUAUACUCUCAACACUCCACAUCUAGCUUCUAACAAAGUCUCUAGUUUCUCUGUGGCUACCCGUGUGCUGAAAAAGGCAGUCCAAUAGGUUGGUCUCUAGGGCUUUUUUUUAUGGUAAACGGUGAGCUACAUAAACAUUGGGGUAACUCUUCCCCUUAAAUCCGCAUCACAAGUAUUAAAAUCACAGAACCUAAACUCUCUACUAUACUCCCUGUUGUUAAGAGCUUAUGUGCUAAUCAAUUAGUCGCUUGAUUUGCUUCCUGAUA